GCUAAAGUUUGAGGGUUCAUAGAAACCUAAAUGUCUGUGACACUACAGCCUGAUUAAAACUCCAGGAACUGAGCAGUAUAGCGAUCCUGGUACCAGAAGAGGAAGUCCUUGAAUGCAUAAAACCUGUCCAUGAGCAGUCACACAUCUGCACUCAGACAAGACACGCAAAUACAGUGGAGGGUCUCUCACAGUAAAUGCAAAGGUAAUGAAAUUCCAGAGAGAUUCGUUGUCAUAAAGCUGCACAGUGUUCCUGCUUCCAACUCCAAGACAGGCUCCAAGUAUACUAUAAGCAGCAUCCUGAGCCUGCGUAGAAAAACCCGUGGAUAACCAGAGCUGGGUAAUCAAAGCCACACACUUCCUCCAGUGCCCUGGAAAGCUGAACUUCCCAAGGGGAGCCCAACUGCAGCAGGCUCUGGUCUGCUGAGGAUGAGGAACUACCUGGAUUAAACAGACAUGGGAAGCCAGACAGGUCACUGUGCCUCAUCCUGAAUAGUCCUCACAGGGAAGGAGGAAGAAGAGAAAGCCGAGUCCUGCCUCCUCUGGUAACUGUCCUGGCUCCUCUGCUCCACUUCCCUCAGCUUUUCCUCUUUGUUUACUGCUUGGACAACCUGCACCACCGUGGCAGCACCAACGGCUGCAUAGUGUCCCACCUCACCUGCUGAGCACCACACCCAGCAGACCUCACACGCACUCCAUGCUAGCACCAAUUCCCUGUUCUGCUAGUAACCAGGACAGUCAAGAAUUUCCUAAAUCCCAUAUAUUAGAAACAAAUUGUUCCGUUUCAGGCAACACUGACACAUGGAUUAAACCCAACCCCUGGCACACACUGCACGUCCUCAGAUACUGUGGCACAGCUACUCAGUUUUAGAUGUGUAUGUUUUUAAUAUUCGCAGGAAAAUAGGCAAAAAUACUACACACACACAUACACACAUAUAUAUGUGUGUGUGUAUAUACACACACACAGAAUAUGACACAAAUCUGACAAAACACCCUACAGAGCUUCAAGGAAAAAGACAAAAUGAUAAAAAACCCCACAGUACUAUAAAAACCCCAGAAAAACCAAACUAAAGCAAAAUUAAUUUUUGGCUCAGUUACUAUUACAAAAAUACAUCAGUCCUGUUUAAAACAAGAAUUACUCUGGGUUUGGGUUUUUUUUUUCUCAAAAAUGUAUUUUAAAUCUGCAUGUCCAAUUCAAAUAAUUCUUUUGCUUUAAAGUGGGAAAGAUAAAGCUCAGCACUGAACAAAAAGUGGUUUAAAAUAAACCACUGAAUAAUAAAGAUCUUGUUUGCUGUACAUUCAAGUAUUUUCUACUAGAACUUCAUGCAUGUAAAAGUCCAGAGACAAAAGAAAAGCAUGUGUCACCUUUGCAACAAAAAGGCUGCAAAAUCUCGGUUUUAUGUAAAUCAGCAGGCACAGCUCCUGAGGCUUUAAAACCAGGGAAUGCUGAAAACCUCAAUAGUUCCUUGACUCAAGUGUUUCGCUUGGGCAAUGUCAUGAUAUUAAUUUAAGAAUCCAUUUAUCAACAGAUACCACAUGUCCAAGUUUUCCAGCACAGUUCUGAUGAUCUACUGAAAAGGAUUCUUUAAAAACAUUAAGCUGGAACACAAGAAUCAGAGAUGCUUUCUCUGCCCAUUCCACACUAUCCAUUAGCAACUAAAAAAGCUAAGAUUUACACUAUGUCCUCCCUGAUAACGCUGAGCAUUGUGCUUUAUUUUCCAAGUCAUUAGCAUGCACAAGAAUGACCUCAUGGUGAACAGAUGCACUUGGAUAUGGCAGUGAUUAGAUCAGUCCUCUCAGCAGUCAAGUGUGCCCCGUUCCUAUUAACCCCUGAGGUGCCGGCCACUAGGGGGUUCCCUGGAAUGCAGGAACCUGCCAUGGCCAGCACAAGCCCCUCUGACAGGAUCCUUGUGGUGGGAAAGCUAUGACUGGAGAGUUCUCCUGGGAUAUCCAGUGGCCCCUUUCACUUCCAAAGGUUAACACCGUGCUUCUGGCUGCUGAUCUUACACAAAACCAGACCAAAAGCCCCAAGGAGUCACAGAGGCAGUUGAAGUUGGGGUGCUGCUCUGCCCACUCCAGCUUCACCAAUUUUUUUAAAGAACGCUCAAGUAUUUUGUUGAAUAACUAUUUCUGGUUUUGGCUGAGAGAGCAAGAACAGCAGCUUAAAGCCUGUCCACUAAAAGGAGAGAAAUCUGCAGAGGGAAAGAAUGAGAAUAAUUCAAUAGUGCUGUAUUAUGGAGGAUUUCCUGGGCUGCCUCUCAAACCCUGCCUAAUUAAAAUAUAGUAUGUAAUGCACCAGUUUAACAACAAAGGGGCCGUAUUCCCAGCUUUUGUUCCUAAUCUGCACAUCCCCUGCAUGAGUUUGGGGAUGGCCAUUCUGCCUAUGAGGCUGCACUUUCAAUGCUGAAAGGUAUCAGGGCUAUCUGUAAUCCAUACAGGGAGUUUCAGGUUCUGCUCCUCAAAACAGCAAAGGAGAUCAACUGGACAAUUUUCCUGCAGAAAAUGCAGCACCUGCAAGACUGGUGACAGGGAGACUAAGCCAGGGCAGGAAGACCACAUCCCACGUGAGUCUGGGGAUGCAUCCCCAGGGACAGCAUCAGAAAACACAAAAACAUCCAGUUCCAAGAAUUAUCUCAUAGUCAGCGAUACCACAGUAUGUCACUGAGAGCUGUGUUUGAUUUCUCCCUAUGCUGUG